rnacentral:lncRNA from 1 species
UUUCAUAAGGAAGUAUCAAAAACAUAAUCUACUUGCUAUUACAAGCAUUUACAUUAUUUAGAUACAUUUUACAUCACAAUUUCAUUGUACAUUUAACUUCCAAAUACAAUCAUGCUUUUAUUACAAAUUAUUACAAUCUUAUUCCUUUCAUUUUCUUACAUCCCUAAGUAAAGCCGACUCAGGGUACCGCUGUCACGUCCCGCGACCGCCUAUUUGGUUGGUUUCGGGCACGCCAACAGAUCGCCGAACGGACAGGGUUUCCCCUGUACUGCGGACAAAGUCUCCCCUAUACGUUCAAGGCAUAGCAAUCAAUACAAUGUGCGAAGUUCCAACCAGAAACACAUUUCAAUCAAGAUUGCAUAAUGGAAGGUAUCAAACAACAUAACACAUCCUAUGUUAUUACAAGCAUUCACAUUCAUACAUUUUUUUUACAUCACAAUUCUCAAUUGGUUCUUACACUAGCUUUCACUUAACUUCCAAAUACAAUCCGAUUCAACAUGAUUAUUACAACUUGAUUCUUUUUAUUCUUUACAUCCCUAAGCAAAGCCGACUCAGGGUACCGCUAUCUCUGGUCUCGGUGGUAGGGCGCUAACUAUGGAGCUACGCCCUCGCCUCGCGACGCUGCGCCGCUCACGUGUGAACCUGCAACACCCCAAAACCACGUGGGGUGAGAACCAACUCUAUGGUUCCCAGUGUGUACGGCCACCCAAGGGAAAUGCUCGACCAACAGGUUCAAAGGAGGCAACUGCAGGUUAGUUUAAUAAACAGAUAAAUAUAUAUAUCUUGAUUAUGCAACGAAUAAAACCAUGCAUUGCCUCACAAACGUAAUAAUGCAAUGCUAUAUGCAAAUCAUGCAAUAAUGCAACCAACUAGUAGUUCACUCAAUACUACUUUCCAUUCUGCUAACCAUAGCUCAUCCGUUUGAUAUCUAAGGCUUCCUCUAUCUUAGAUUCUUGUCAAUCGCCGUUUUAAUCAUAAAGUUUCAUCUACCUUUACAAGGCUAACCACCCGACUCGGUCUUGAGUCAAUCGUCUGCGGAGUACCGCACUAGAACCAGACUCGAGGCGAUGGACGUCUCACAUACACCUCAGCCCUAAAUCCGCUCGACUAGGAUACCAAAUCCAUAACUCAUAAUGCAUACUUGUUAUACAUUCAUUUGGCUAUGACCCAAUCUUACCGGUUAACCAUGUGAACCCCAAUAACUCACCACCAAAAUCCCUUAAUAACGGGGGACUCGAACCUCCCUAGGGACUGUCAUCUGGGGGGACUUUACCACACCCAGUGGUGACCAACUCCGAAGCGCACCGCCCGAUGGGGAGCUACCUCCCUCAAGCCAAGACGUAACGUGAGUAUCGAUCCAAUCCUCAACUUGAGCAUUCAUAGCCACUCGUCACAAUGCCAUUGUCAUAAUAGGUUUUCUACCUAUUUAAUCAUGCCACUCUCUAUGUCAACUUGGACCAAUAUCAAUAUGGUUAAACUAUAUUUAACAACCACUUUCUUGAUGCGAAUCAUGUCUCUAUUUUCAUUAUCACCCUUAUUUACUAUUGUCCAAGUCCGACUUAUGCUCUUUAACAAUAGGUUUAAUGCCACACAUGAUUCCAACCUAAGUUCUUUGACACUAGGUUCAUGUCCAACCUAUGUUUAUUCACACUAGGUUUAUAUCAUCUAUGUUCAACCUAGGUUCCUGACUCUAGGUUAAGUGCCACUCGAUCUAAUAUAUAGAUGUCCAAUGUCAAGAUCUCUAUCAUAGAGUUAUCGAUCCAAUUCAUGCAAUCAUCUAGCAUUUACAUAGCAUAUUCAUCAUGCAUUCUACGAUAAUUAUUAUAUAGCAACCAUACCAAGCAUUUGCCUAGCUUUUACAUCAUGUCAUUUACAUGCAUUCUUUUAGUGUUAACUACAUGCAUCAUCUCAAUGCCAACAUACAUUACAACUAGCAUGUACUUUCCCAAUGCAUUAUUAUGCAAUUAUCCUGUAGUAUGCAUUUUCAUAAUGUCAAUAUGCUUAUUGUCAUCUAACAUGUGUCCACAUUUAGCAAUUUUUCAUAACUCACAUAAUUAACAACAUGUUAACAUUCAUUUAUAUGCUCACAUUCUCUAAUACAUGUCAACAUGAAUCUCAUAAUGCUAAAUGCCCCUAGCAUGUAUUUCACUAAGCAUACAUACUAAUAUGCAAAUUACCAACUAGCAUGCAUUUAUACAAUGCUAAUAUGCCCGUAUGCACAUACACAUAUGCAUCAACAAGAUUCCAUAUUUCGCUUUGACAUGCGGGGUGACCAAGUCGCUUCGGUAAACACAACCCACCUCAUUUCGCAUUCCGAUUGCUUGUCGACACUUGCAAUCGGCCUCCCGCGGCACUCGGCACUCGAUUUGGCCCGAUCUCUUGCGUGACCACCCGAACGGCCUCGAAUUCACGAUCCGAAAAUUAAAGGUCUUCGGUUAUGUGCCACGAUACUUCAAAUCCGUUUUCAUGGGUUAACGAUGUCGCCUCGGCCCUCCAGGCGGAAACGAAGCCUAAACCUCCAUUUCUUUAAUAACUUCGCAACGGCUCGACGAAUCGCCGAACCGUCUUCGCCAACGCGUUCGUUUACCUAGCAAUUGAAUUUAUAUAGGGUCAAAUGAGAUCAAACCCUCAUAUUUACAAAACUAGCAUUUUUGAGCCCUAGGCUUACUACUAGGUAAAAACCAACCAUUAGGGCCUUGGUUUCAAGCAUCAAACCUCUAAUUAGCAUGCUAGAAUACCUCUAAACCCAUUCUUAGAGCUUAAAAACAAAACUAGAGAGAAAUGCCAUUAAAUGGUUUGAAGCUUACCUUCAAAGCUUGCUCUCUAAUAGCCAAUGAAGAAGAUGAAGAAGAUAACUUUCCUCCAAGCUUCCUUCUCCACCAAAACCCUCUCUUUUGGGAGAGAAUUAGAGAGAGAAAAUGGAGGUUUCUCUCUCUCCAUCUACAUGCGUGUGUGUGUGUGUGUCGUGUGUGUGCUCGGGCUGAAGGAGGGGAAGAAGAAGCACAUUGCUUCUUAUACAUUACACCCCAAAACACUAUUCACUUCAGGCAAUUUUUGUAGUUCGGAACAGUUGGAGCCCUUCUGAAUGUCCGUUUAAGCUUAAAUUUGACAGGCAGGCUCAGUUUAACGUACUGAGUAAGAAUAUAUUUUAAGUUUUCAGUUUCGACCCCAUUUGGUCACCGAAAACUGUACCGAACUGUAAUCUUUAUCAGAUAGCUGUCGGAUUUUAUUUCUCACUCUACGGGUGUCAGAAAAAUAUGAAACUUUAAAUCUAACAUCAUAAAAAUAUUUCUGACUUAUCCUCCAAUUUUCAUAAUUUUCUGAGACUGUGCAUUUUCUGCUAAUUAUCUGUUUUCGUUUCCAGCAGAAAUUCUUAGAUCUUUCUGUUUUCAUUCCGAUUUAAGCACAAGUCCUUCCGACUUAUGUUUUACUUCUAUAAAUCAAUAGAAAAUAGUUUCUCACACUAUUUUUAUUUAUUUUUUAUUUUUCUACAAAAUCUGGUAUGUUACAACCGCUAUCUCUGGUCUCGGUGGUAGGGCGCUAACUAUGAGGUACGCGCCUUCGCAUCGCGCGCUCACGUCGUGAAACCUGUAACACCCCAAAAAUAACAUGGGUUGGAGAACAACUCCAUGGUUUACAGUGGUACGGCACCCAAGGAAAAAGUUCGACAAUAGGUCCAAGGGAGGCAACUGCAAUGAGUCCAAAAACAGAUUAGAAUAUCUUUAUUAUGCAACUAAUAAAACCAUGCCUUGCCUCACGAAUGCAAUAAUGCCAUGCUAUAUGCGAAUCAUGCAACUAUACAAGUAGAAUGAAGGAUUUUAUUUUCUAUCAUGCUAUUCAUAGCUUUUCCAUAAUUUUAUACAUCUUGUCACUUUACAAUCAUUGGUUACUUGCUCCUAAGGUUUUCCUCUACCCUAGCCAAUCUAACCGCCCGACUCAGUCUCGAGUCAAUCAACUGCGGAAUACCGCACCAAUACCAGGCUCGUGGUAAUGGACGUCUCACAUACACCUCAGCCCCAAAUCCACUCGACAGGGAUACUCAAUCUAUAGCUCAUAACGCUUAAUGUAUAUUCAUUUGGCUUUUACCCAAUUGCAUCGAGGUUCACUCAGUUCCCCUCGAACUCACAACCCAAAAUCCCUUUUUACCGGGGAGGCUCCAAGCACUACCGACCUGAGGGACCGUCUUUAGGGACCGCGCUCCCGUGGUGACAAUUCCGGAAUGUACCGCUUGAGGGGGAGCUACCGCCCUCAAGCCAAGACUCAAUGUGAGUAUGAUCCAAUUCCCAAUUUGGGAAUGUAUAGCCAUAAGCCACAAUGCCACAAAUGCCACAAUCAUAAUAGGUUUUCUACCUAUUUAUUCAUGCCACUCUCUAGGUCAUUCUUGUCUCAAUGCCACUCUUGGUUAAACUAUGUUUAACCACUAUGUUCCUAUACCAAUCAAUGUCUCUAUUGCCAAUGUCACCUUUGUUUACUAAUGUCCAAGUUCAACUCUCACAUUCACACAAUAAUAGGGUCCUAACAUACAUAUCCAUUAUGGUUCCACCAUUCUCUAUGUUCAACUACGUUAGAAACAUGUCAUUGAAAGCAACCAAGGUUCACAUGUACUUAGCCCUAUCAUGCAUGAAUGUUACAAAAUAUGUAUGCUCAAAUACCAUAAGUGUUUGCUAGGUUCAUGACACUAGGUUCACACUAUACUUGUUAAACCUAUGUUCAAGACACUAGGUUCAUAUCAUCCAUGUUUAACCUAUGUCCAUGACUCUAGGUUUAGUACCACUCGAUCUAAUGUAUAUAGAUUGUCCAUAAGCACAUUUUCAUUUCUUAACAUUAGUAUCUCUACAGCAUGAUUAUCAAGUAUAUCUUAGUAUUAGCCACAUGCUUACAUUUAGCAUUUUCAUGACAUGUAUCCAACUAACAUUAACCAAUGCAUAUAUUCUAACAUUUCUAUACCACAUCAUUCAUGCAUUUAUUUAGCAUCCUUUACAACUUAUCAUUAUACUUUACAACUAGCAUGUUCUCUACUUUUUGUUAACAUGCAAAUGUCAUUUAUCUCAUGCUUUUAACUAGCAUCAUUUAUAUUACAUCAUCAUGCAUUCUAAUAUUUCUAUAUUACACCUUUAGCAUGCAUUUUCUUUAGCAUUUACUACAUGCAUCCAUCUAGUAUUUAUAUGCAUCAAUAUGAAUUCAUUUUACUUAGAUAUACAGGCGACCUAGUAGCUUUGGUAAGCACAACCCACCUCAUUUCGCAUUCCGAUUGCUUGUCAACACUUGCAAUCGGCCUCCCGCGGCACCCGGCACCCGGUUUGGCCCGAUCCCUCGCGCGACCACCCGAACGGCCUCCAAUCCACGAUCCGGAAAUUAAAUGUCUUCGGUUAUGUGCCACGGUGCUUCAAAUCCAUUU